UACGUAGGGUGCAAGCGUUAAUCGGAAUUACUGGGCGUAAAGCGUGCGCAGGCGGCUUUGCAAGACAGAUGUGAAAUCCCCGGGCUUAACCUGGGAACUGCAUUUGUGACUGCAUGGCUAGAGUGCGGCAGAGGGGGAUGGAAUUCCGCGUGUAGCAGUGAAAUGCGUAGAUAUGCGGAGGAACACCGAUGGCGAAGGCAAUCCCCUGGGCCUGGCACUGACGCUC
rnacentral:rRNA from 1 species